AUACUUACCUGGCGUAGGGGAUACCGUGAUCAUGAAGGCGGUUCCCCCAGAGCGAGGCCCCUCCAUUGCACUGCGGCGGGGUUGACCUCUGUGAUUAUCCCUAAUGUGGAUAACUCGGACGCGUAAAAAU
rnacentral:snRNA from 1 species